rnacentral:rRNA from 1 species
GCUCCUGGCUCAGGACGAACGCUGGCGGCGUGCUUAACACAUGCAAGUCGAACGGACUUAAUCGAAAGAAGUUUUCGGAUGGAAUUUGAGAAGAGUCAGUGGCGGACGGGUGAGUAACGCGUGAGGAACCUGCCUAUCAGAGGGGGACAACAGUUGGAAACGACUGCUAAUACCGCAUAAAACGUCAUGAUGGCAUCAUCGAGACGUCAAAGGAGCAAUCCGCUGAUAGAUGG